CCUACGGGUGGCAGCAGUGAGGAAUAUUGCUCAAUGGACGAGAGUCUGAACCAGCCAAGCAGCGUGAAGGAUGAAUGUUCUAUGGGUUGUAAACUUUUUUUAUAUGGGAAUAAAAUGUUCCAUGUGUGGGAUUUUGUAUGUACCAUAUGAAUAAGGCACGGCUAAUUCUGUGCAAGCAGCCGCGGUAAUACGGAGGAUCCGAGCGUUAUGCGGAUUUAUUGGGUGUAAAGGGAGCGUAGGUGGAUUGUUAAGUCAGUUGUGAAAGCUUGCGGCUCAACCGUAAAAUUGCAGUUGAAACUGGCAGUCUUGAGUACAGUAGAGGUAGGCGGAAUUCGUGGUGUAGCGGUGAAAUGCUUAGAUAUCACGAAGAACUCCGAUUGCGAAGGCAGCUCACUGGACUGCAACUGACACUGAGGCUCGAAAGUGUGGGUAGCAAACAGGAUUAGAUACCCUUGUAGUC
rnacentral:rRNA from 1 species